CUACGGGGUGCAGCAGUGAGGAAUAUUGCACAAUGGGGGGAACCCUGAUGCAGCAACGCCGCGUGGAGGAUGACGCAUUUCGGUGUGUAAACUCCUUUUAUAUGUCAAGAAAAUGACGGUAGCAUAUGAAUAAGCACCGGCUAACUCCGUGCCAGCAGCCGCGGUAAUAGGGAGGGUGCAAGCGUUACUCGGAAUCACUGGGCGUAAAGGACGCGUAGGCGGGUUGGAAAGUCAGGUGUGAAAUCCUACAGCUUAACUGUAGAACUGCACUUGAAACUUCUAAUCUAGAGUAUGGGAGGGGGAGAUGGAAUUAGUGGUGUGGGGGUAAAAUCCGUAGAUAUCACUAGGAAUACCUAAAGCGAAGGCGAUCUCCUGGAACAUUACUGACGCUAAGGCGUGAAAGCGUGGGGAGCAAACAGGAUUAGAUACCCCCGUAGUC
rnacentral:rRNA from 1 species